AAUGUCUGGGGUUAUUUUAUUUUAUUAUUUUUUAAAUCUACAGGUUGCAAUAAAAAUAAUAGACAAAACAAGGUUAGACCCAAGCAAUCUGGAGAAGAUUUAUAGAGAAGUUCAGAUAAUGAAGCUUUUGAAUCAUCCCCACAUUAUCAAGCUGUAUCAGGUUAUGGAGACAAAGGAUAUGCUUUACAUUGUUACUGAGUUUGCAAAGAAUGGAGAAAUGUUUGAUCAUCUGACCUCCAAUGGGCACUUAAGUGAAAGCGAAGCACGGAAGAAGUUCUGGCAGAUUCUUUCAGCGGUGGAAUACUGUCACAGCCACCACAUAGUGCACAGGGAUCUCAAAACAGAGAACCUUCUGCUAGAUGCUAACAUGAAUAUCAAGUUAGCAGACUUUGGCUUUGGAAACUUCUACAAGUCGGGAGAGCCCCUCUCCACUUGGUGUGGAAGCCCACCCUAUGCAGCUCCAGAAGUUUUUGAAGGCAAAGAAUAUGAAGGACCUCACCUUGAUAUAUGGAGCCUUGGAGUGGUGCUGUAUGUCCUUGUCUGUGGUUCUCUGCCUUUUGAUGGACCCAAUUUACCAACUCUGAGGCAACGAGUGCUGGAGGGGCGGUUCCGCAUCCCUUACUUCAUGUCCGAAGACUGUGAAACACUAAUCCGACGGAUGUUGGUUGUGGACCCAACCAAGCGCAUAACCAUUUCCCAAAUAAAGCAGCACAAGUGGAUGCAAGCUGACCCAUCUCUGCGACAGCAGCAGUCUUUGUCCUUCUCCAUGCAAAACUACAACUCCAACCUGGGUGACUACAAUGAACAGGUCCUUGGGAUCAUGCAAACACUUGGCAUCGACAGGCAGAGAACUGUAGAGUCUCUGCAAAACAGCAGCUACAACCAUUUUGCUGCAAUUUAUUACCUGCUCUUGGAGCGCCUCAAGGAGUAUCGAAGCAGCCAGCUAUCGAGUCGUCCAGCAACUGGCCGUCAGCAAAGGCCGAGGAGCUCCGAGAUCAUCAAUAUCGAGAUGCCUCAGGACAGUCUCGUUAGUGAAACCCUGCGAUCAUCUCUGCUUUACCAGCAACCUCAGAGCCUGAUUCAGCCAUCCUUGCAGGCAGAAAUGGACUGUGACAUGAGCAAUCCAUUACAGCCUGUGUUCUUUCCUGUGGAUCCCAACUUCAACGGGCUCUUCCGGAACCGCUCCAUCUCCCCGAACAGCCUGCUGGAGACCACCAUUAGUGAAGAAGUAAGGCAAGAGAAGGAACUGGAAGAUGAAAUUAAGGCGUAUGACCACCCCAUCCGCAUCCCUAGCAACACCAGCAGGAGGCACACACUGGCCGAAGUGACCACUCAUUUCUAUCAGCAUGCCCCUCCAUGUAUAGUCAUUUCCUCUUCUGCAAGCCCCACAGAGGGAACUAGUUCAGACAGCUGCCUUACUUCAUCUUCAAAUGACAGCUCAGUGGCCCUGAGCAGCUGUUUGGCAGGUCAAGUAAUGACGGGGAGCCCAGCCACAGCUAGGAUGACGUCGCCCUUCCUAGCUUCCCAGUCUGACGCUCCGGUGUUACAAGCCCAGGGCUGCAUGGGAGGUGCUUCUCUCCUGCCUGUCAGCUUCCAAGAAGGAAGGCGGGCAUCUGAUACCUCAUUAACUCAAGGCUUGAAGGCUUUUAGGCAGCAGCUGCGGAAGAACGCUCGAGCCAAGGGGUUUCUCGGCUUGAAUAAAAUCAAAGGCUUUGCUCGGCAGGUGUGUCAGUCCUCCUCAUCUCGGGCAGCAAGGAGUGCCAUGAGCCCUUUCCAACACACGCAGCCGAACACCUGCAUGUACAGCAGCAGUGGGAGCAGCAGAGAGGGAAGAAGCCUCCUGGAGGAGGUGCUACAGCAGCAGAGAAUGCUCCAGCUACAGCAUCACCAGCUCCUCCAGACAGCUUGUCCCCAGACUUCUCAGACAUCUGCAACAAAUGGCGUCCCCUCCUCUGAUAGCGUAGGUACCUGCAAAGCAUCCAAUUCUCUUCUGUUGUCAGAGCUACAAAGAGAGAACUCAUUUGAGCUGGCCUUUGCCGGCAACAGCCAACUGCUCCAACCUCAUUUCUUUGGUGUCAGCGUGUCACCGGUGUCCUCAGCAGCUCACCUUCUAGACACGCACCUGUACAUCAGCAGCAACGUCUCUCCAGUUGGCACCACCUUCUCUCAGCAACAGAGUUUCUCUGCACAGUCUCCAAGCUAUGACGCCGUCACUCUGCAGCACGGGGACUGUGAGAUGGAGGACCUGACUUCCAACCAGCUAGGGAAGUUUGUCCUAGUCAAAUGAGAGCCCCGGCUGCUAUAGCUCACGCUGCUCUUGUUGCGAAGAACUUUCACCGCUGUUCCAUGGCGUGUGUGGGUCCAUGGCUGGCUGGUGUCGUGUGGACGAGUGACUCUCAGAAGCAAUAAAUUUUGAAGUAUGUGAAGACGCUGUCUGGCUCAGAAAGCUAGCAACUUUAUAGAACGGAAACAAGCAAUAUCUUGCCACUGCUGCCGCGUGGUCUGGAAGCUUCAAAGUGAGCGAAAAUUGCUUGAGUUGAAGUUCUGCUAAUGAGUGGUGCCUUGCAGCAGAGGAAACACCAAAGUCUCAUGCUCAUUUGUGGUGGUUUAAAAAAAAAAACCCAACCCAAAAAACAGAUUGCGUGGAGGUGGCUGGAGCGGAGGGCAAGAAGAAGCCAGCUCAUCACAAAGCAGCAACUUCGCCUUCGGUUUUGUAAGGGGUAGCACACGUACUGAAAACGCAGAAUUUCCUCUUCGAUAUUUGUUUUGUUAAACGCCGUGGAUCAAAAGGCCACAGAUUCUUUUGUUUCCUGUCCUGAGCAAUGACAAGCACUUUACUUUCAUAGUAUUUUUUUUCCCAAUUGCUGUAGAACCUCUUUGGAAUUAUUGCUGGAGCAGAAAGAGGUCAUUUUAAAAGUUUGGGGUUUUUUGUAGAUAUCUCGACAGUGCUGUUCUGCAGACUGCAAUGCAAUAGGGUAUUUAAAGACACUACGUGAUUGGUUUAAUUGAGAUGUAUAGUUUAUUUUUUAUCAUGACUGAGCAAUCAUUUUAUUUCUUAUGUUAAAAUGAGAGGUGUACACCAAAACGAUUAGUCGAUGUGUUUUAUUUAAUAUUUAAAUAAAAAAUGUUUUAAAAUUGUU